rnacentral:sRNA from 1 species
UAAGUUGCAGUAUGCUCUGCUUGAGCAGA